GACAGCUGAUUUCGCAGCUGAUUUUCGCCGCAUUUUCACAACAUUGCGGGCUUCUUCGAACAUUUUGCGAGCAUUUUACUCGAUUUACGUAAUCCGGAGCGUAAUUAGAUCGUUGGCGUGUUGAAUCACCUUGGCGCGAAGGCGAGAGCUGCAAACCAGUAUCCGCCCCCCCCGCUGGCCAUGUCGCGAUCCGCCCAAGAAAUGCUGGCGCUGCUGCGCGGACUUCAAAUCGUGAUGGAGGCGUGUGGGCGCGAGCAUCUCGCCCACGGUCGUCAUCUUUGGAGCAACUCGAGCAUUCGUGAACUCAUCGCCACGAAUGCCGAACAUACGGCGCAGCUGGUGAGGAAAUCUGGCCAAAAUCCCACCGAGGAAUUGAGAAAACUGCAACUGGCGCUCCAGGAAACCGGCGAAAGGGGUUACGUGGUGGCCAAAGGCAUUUGUUCCCUCCUGGACGCCAAAGUGAAGCAGUCGCGCGAGGAAUCGGGCAGUUUGGAAGCCAGUGCAUCGGCAACGGCCAACGUCACGAACAGAAAAAAACCCCCCACUACGGUGCAUAAUCCAAGCAAUUGGGACGCCGCCAAUCUGGAUAUAUCCUCCAUAACACUGCAGGAAUUCGAGGAGAUACUCUCGCGCCGAAACAAGGAUCGCAGUGUCAGUCUGCGCACCCCGGCCACCAAAAGCAGUCAGACGAAGAUGGCCCAGGGGCCGGCGGAUGCGGGCAUCAUUACCCAGGACACGGAGUAUGUCAACAAUGUGCUGCGCUUUGUGGCAGGCGCCAAGGCAAAGGAGCAAUCGCAGCCACAAACCGAUACGCAGGCCAAGCAGGAGCCCAUAGAUGUGCCCGCCCUGAGCCAGGUGGCCAAGCAGCGGAAGGUGCCCUCGUCGCGCAUCGGCAGGAUGGCCUCCUUUGGCGGCCUCUUCGCCGGCCUGGGCGUCGGCACGCUCAGCGAGCUGACCAAGGGAGCCCUCGGCCUGGGCGGUUCGACGACGAUGCGGGAGGCUCUCCUCAGUCCCGCAAAUGCCGAACGCAUUGUGGACACGUUGUGCAAGGUGCGUGGAGCUGCCCUCAAGAUUGGCCAGAUACUAAGUAUCCAGGACUCGAGCGUAGUGUCGCCGCAGCUGGCCAAGGCCUUUGAGCGGGUGCGUCAGGCGGCGGACUACAUGCCCGACUGGCAGGUGGAGCGGGUGAUGAACACCCAGUUGGGGGCCGAUUGGCGCCAGCGGUUGAGCCAUUUCGAGGCGAAACCCUUUGCGGCCGCCUCCAUUGGCCAGGUGCAUCGGGCCAAACUGCUCGAUGGCAUGGAUGUGGCCAUUAAAAUCCAAUAUCCCGGCGUGGCCCAGAGCAUCGAGAGCGACAUUGACAAUCUGGUGGGCAUGCUCAAGGUGUGGGACGUCUUUCCGCAGGGCUUCUUCAUCGACAAUGUGGUGCGCGUGGCCAAGCGGGAGCUGCAAUGGGAGGUGGACUAUGAUCGCGAGGCGGAAUACACGGAGAAGUUCCGCGAGAUGAUCGCCCCCUAUCCGGAGUACUAUGUGCCGCGUGUGGUGCGCGAUUUGACCACCUCCAGUGUCCUCACCACCGAACUGGUGCCGGGUUUGCCGCUCGACAAGUGUUUCGACUUGAGCUACGAGCAUCGUGCCCACAUAGCCGCCUCCGUGCUGAAACUCUGCCUGCGUGAACUGUUCGAGAUCGAGUGCAUGCAGACGGAUCCGAAUUGGUCCAACUUCCUGUACGAUGCACCCAGUCGCCGACUGAUGCUGAUCGAUUUUGGCUCGACGCGCUUCUACCGGCAUGAGUUCAUUCGCAAUUACCGCCAGGUGAUCAUGAGUGCGGCGGAGGACAAUCGGCAGGGAGUGCUGGAGAUGUCGCGCCAGAUGGGCUUCCUCACCGGUUACGAGACGAAGCAGAUGGAGCAGGCGCACGUGGAUGCGGUGAUGAUACUGGGCGAGAUCUUUCGCUACGAUGGGGAAUUCGACUUUGGCAAGCAGAACACCACCGAGCGGCUGGCCGCCUUGGUGCCCACCAUGGUGGCCCAUCGACUCUGCCCGCCGCCCGAGGAGAUCUACUCCAUCCAUCGCAAGCUCUCCGGGAUUUUUCUGCUGUGCGCCAGACUCAAUGUGCGCAUGAACUGCGUUCCCUUCUACAAGGACAUCGUGCUGGGCAAAUUCAAGGACUAGUGAAGAUUUCUUUUUUGGCCAAGUAGAAGAGGGCGACGGCGUUAAAUGGGUAAAGAGCACAAUGAAAGAGCAUCUAAGAGCGCGAACCGAUGCGAAAGAGAGACGAAAAAAGCGCUAAGAGAGCCAAACGAAUAUCAGCAACAAAUUGAAUUUCAUUUUCAUUUUCAUUUUGUGUCGGCGGUUUGCAGCGUGAAUAUCGCACCGGAAUCAAAAAAUGUACGAGAAAUAAAGCAAAUAUCAGGGAUGACAAAAAAGAAAAAAAACGGAACUGCUACCGGGCGUUAAUUAUUUAAUUGAAUAAUGAAGUGCUGGUGAUCGAAGUGAAUAGGAUAAUAAAUUGUGCCUUUUUAGGAUUUGUUUUUUUGUUGGUUUUCCAAACUUACUAAAUCAUUCAAGUAUUAAUUGAUUGCAAAAAAGUGACAUUUCAUAAUUGUGCGCGCGCCUUUUAAAGUAUUCAAACUUGCGCGCGCUCCUCUCUUUUAUUUAACUUGAAUUAAUGCUAUACUUAAUAUGAUAAUACCAUGUAUGAUAUUUGUUUUUUGUUGUUUUUGUUGAGAGUGCAGUGCGUGUGUGUUUGUGAGGAAGUUAUAGUUUAAUGUUGGUUAGCUUCAAUUGUCGAGCAACAAAAAAAAAAAUAAUAAUAAAAAUAAUAAAUAACACAGCAUCAGCAACAACAAUAGCAAAAAACAACAAAGCGAUGCUGAUUGAUGUCACACACACCACAAAAAAUAAAUUAUCACCUUGAAGGGGCUUAUCAAUUUAGCCAGCACAUAAAGAUGUUAUCUUGGAAAUUAGUUUAGAGAUUUUGCCAGCACGGAAACGGAAGUGAGGACGCCCCGAGGAAAGUGGAAAAGCGCAGAACGGCAG